GGGGCCAUGUGGACAACUGG
rnacentral:misc_RNA from 1 species